rnacentral:lncRNA from 1 species
GUAAGUAACUAUUAAUACCGCCUCGCCCGGGGAUGCGGGCGUGCUGAGCGCCGGGAUUGGCCUAGGGCACCGUGGCCAUCCCCUUUAAUUUUUAAAUACACGGUCCUCUCCUACUUCUGGGUGGCAAGAAAGAAAAGAAAAGAAGACAAGCCGUCGAUUUUUAUUUUUCCUCCAGAACAAGCCCGCCGUGCAAUUUGGUCGCAAGGCAUCGGGAGACAAGAGUGGUUUGCAAAUUGUUCCAAGCCUCAAGACCCAGCUGUGCAGCGGAAAAAGAACGCCGCGGGUUAACAGAGUCCGGGGAGCAUCUGCGGCCAGCUCCUGCAGGACCCCCGGAAAUCUCCUGCCGCUGGUCCCCCCAGGUCACCGCCCGCACUUCUUGCUUCAUCAGAGGAGGAUCUGGGACGUGAGCGGCGACAGCAAGAGCUAGUGCUGACCGCGCGGGCUCAGCUUUGGGCUUUGUCGCGGUACCUGUGCCUGCCCUACUCCGCACUCCCUACUCAGCUUUUGCAAUCUUUUGUUGCCACUGCUGACCGCCCCAAGUUAAAUGCUCCUUUGCUAUUUUGCUUUUUUUUCUGUCCCUUUUUUUUUUUUUUUUUUUGAGAGCGAGAGGGAGAGCUCUGCGAUUUUUUGGAAAAGCCUCAGACG